CAACAACAACCACCACCACCAUAUUACCAACAACCACCACCACCAUCGUAUUACCAACAACAAACACCACCACCACCGUAUUACCAACAACAACCACCACAACACAUGUCCACCCCCCAACCAAAUCAACACUACAUACCACAAACUCAACCCCAAUAUAAUGAAGAUUACCAACACCAACCUCAACAUUCCCACCACCAUCAAAAGUCCCAACACCUACCACAAACUCAAUCCCCCACCAACACCAAUCCCAACACUUCCAUCACGACGAUGUCCCGGGCUCUUCCAGUCCUCCACUUAGCCCCGACACAGGUAUACAAGAGGAUUACCAACAAGACUACUACACACCACAACAAACAACCCACCAACACCAAUCCCAACACUUCCAUCACGACGAUGUCCCGGGCUCUUCCAGUCCUCCACUUAGCCCCGACACAGGUAUACAAGAGGAUUACCAAC
rnacentral:lncRNA from 1 species